rnacentral:sRNA from 1 species
UCUCCGUCCUUCGUGGACACUACCUCCGUC